rnacentral:rRNA from 1 species
GACGAACGCUGGCGGCGUGCCUAAUACAUGCAAGUCGAACGCAGUGGGUACGGGUGAGUAACACGUGGGUAACCUCCCCUCAGAGUGGAAAACACUUUGAAAAAGGUGCUAAACCGAUACUGAUGGAUGGAACGGCGGUGCCUUAGCUAGUGGGUGAGGUAACGGCGCACCAAGGCCACGAUGCAAAGCCGCCCUGAGAGGGUGAUCGGCCACACUGGGAUUGAGACACGGCCCAGACUCCUAGGGGAGGCAGCAGUAGGGAAUCUUCGGCAAUGGACGAAAGUCUGACCGAGCAACGCCGCGUGAGUGAAGAAGGUUUUCGGAUCGUAAAACUCUGUUGUUAGAGAAGCGGUAUCUAACCAGAAAGCCACGGCUAACUACGUGCCAGCAGCCGCGGUAAUAC